AGAGUUUGAUCCUGGCUCAGGACGAACGCUGGCGGCGUGCCUAAUACAUGCAAGUCGUGCGGACUUAUCUUCGGAUAAGUUAGCGGCGGACGGGUGAGUAACACGUGGGCAACCUGCCUGUAAGACUGGGAUAACUCCGGGAAACCGGUGCUAAUACCAGAUACAAUCAAAGACCGCCUGGUCUUUGAUGGAAAGGUCUUGUACCGCUUACAGAUGGGCCCGCGGCGCAUUAGCUAGUUGGUGGGGUAAUGGCCUACCAAGGCGACGAUGCGUAGCCGACCUGAGAGGGUGAUCGGCCACACUGGGACUGAGACACGGCCCAGACUCCUACGGGAGGCAGCAGUAGGGAAUCUUCCGCAAUGGACGAAAGUCUGACGGAGCAACGCCGCGUGAGUGAUGAAGGCUUUCGGGUCGUAAAACUCUGUUGUCAGGGAAGAACAUCCGGGAUAACCUCCCGGUCUGACGGUACCUGAUCAGAAAGCCCCGGCUAACUACGUGCCAGCAGCCGCGGUAAUACGUAGGGGGCAAGCGUUGUCCGGAAUUAUUGGGCGUAAAGCGCGCGCAGGCGGUUUCUUAAGUCUGGUGUGAAAGCCCGCAGCUCAACUGCGGAGGGCCACUGGAAACUGGGAAGCUUGAGUGUAGGAGAGGAGAGCGGAAUUCCACGUGUAGCGGUGAAAUGCGUAGAUAUGUGGAGGAACACCCGUGUCGAAAGCGGCUCUCUGGCCUAUAACUGACGCUGAGGCGCGAAAGCGUGGGGAGCGAACAGGAUUAGAUACCCUGGUAGUCCACGCCGUAAACGAUGAGUGCUAGGUGUUGGGGACUCCAAUCCUCAGUGCCGCAGCUAACGCAAUAAGCACUCCGCCUGGGGAGUACGGCCGCAAGGCUGAAACUCAAAGGAAUUGACGG
rnacentral:rRNA from 1 species